rfam:Gossypium raimondii Chr06_contig_871, whole genome shotgun sequence.
UGUUAAAAAUUUUAUGAAUUUCUACUGUUUAAAAUUGGUAUGGUUGGUGGAAUAACUAGACAAAUUACAUAUAGCGUGCCACAUACACCUCAUGCUCAUCGCCAACUAGGCUAAUUUUUAACAGUAAAAAUAAAUAGAAUUUUUAAUA